ACAAUUGGCCAAUUCUGCGCAACAAAUCAAGGAUGGAGGAGCCUUCGCAAGAAGCCCUUGACCUCGACGACUCGGACCUCCCUUCCCUCCGUCGCGCCUCCUCCGCCAAAUCCACCGUUCAAUCCCUCGAAACCACCACUAACUCGACAGGUCUGCGACGCUGCUCUCUCCUCUCUCACUCCUCUCAGUCCAUACCUUCUCAAUCUCCUAAUACUCUUCGUCAGUUCCAUACUCAGCCGGCUCCGCCUCCCUUCCCAAGGGUCAUCCCGGGCCCUGCAGGCGCUGUGCAAUCAGCGAUGCAGCGCAAGAGAAUCCUAGAAGAAACUGAAUCGUUGGAUCUCUCGGAAGGGGAACCGAUCCCGACUCAGGAGUAUAUUCGGAGAGCUGUUAAGGACGGCAGUGGCUACGAUGAAGAUUUCUCCCGCGAUCCAUGGCUUUGUACAGUGGAUUUCAUACGUCGCAAAGGUAUGGUGGAUAGUGACGGCGUUGCGAUUGGGAUGCCUUUGAGUUCGAUUAAGAACGGCUUGAACAUGUAUAAGGUUCCUCAGGUUGUUGCAAUUGUCAAAUCUUGUGCUCCCAAUGGACUUGGUGAUAUGAUGGCGACUCUAAAGGAUCCUACGGGCACAAUUGAUGCUAGCAUUCAUCGUCAAGUCCUCACUGAGGGAGAGUUCAGAAAGGACAUUACUAUUGGAGCAGUUUUGAUAUUACAAGAGGUUGCAGUCUUCUCCCCUUCACGUUCUACAUAUUAUCUCAAUAUAACACUUGCCAAUCUGGUCAAGGUUAUCUCAAGAGACAGCCACAGUCCACUAAUGCAAAAUGAUGCUGUACCAACAGACAAACAUGUUGCUCAUGGUGUUGAAGGCACUCACCCGUUAUUGAUGCCACAGAAGCCUUUCUCUCAGUCAAUUGGAGUAGCUGAACAAAUUAUGAAUAGUUUAAGACAAAACACUGGUGUGAAAGGUAGUGCAUGUAAUGAUGAACAAAUCGAGGAAGGAAUUGUUGCACCUGAAAGCAGCAGCUGCAGCAAAGGAAGUGGCAGAAACAUAAAUGUUGUUGUAGGGAAGGGGCCAUUGCAGGUGAGGCGGAACAUAGUGCAUGAAACUGAAUCAGCAGCUGGACAGGGCACCAAUGGCAGCGACAGAAGUGUUUUGGAGGCUGAGCAGCCCGAGAAUGUCCAUCAGGUGAGCAAAGGCAAUUUUUUUGAUGGUGUUCAGAGAAGCACUGCCAAUGAGGUUCACAUUAAUGAAGAAAAUGAGAACAUGAAUGAUGCAAAGCAGAGGCAGCCACUAAACUCGAGAAGUUCACUCCCACAAUGGACAGAUGAGCAGCUGGACGAGCUAUUUGUAUUUGAUUGAGAAGGCGCUUUUGAGAAGGAAAUUGAUGGUCCCAGAAAGCAGAACAUCAACUUAAGGUCAUUUUGAACUACCUAUUCUAACAAAGAGAAAUUUCAUAGUUUUAAUGCCUGUGUUGGAUCAAUGAUGCACAUGACAUAUGCAUAAGUUUGGUAACGUAUCAGUGAUAUAACAUACGUACCCGGGUGUCUUCUGA